rnacentral:rRNA from 1 species
UACGUAGGGUGCAAGCGUUAAUCGGAAUUACUGGGCGUAAAGCGUGCGCAGGCGGUUAUGGAAGACCGAUGUGAAAUGCCCGGGCUUAAACUGGGAACUGCAUUUGUGACUGCAUGGCUAGAGUUUGGCAGAGGGGGGUAGAAUUCCACGUGUAGCAGUGAAAUGCGUAGAUAUGUGGAGGAACACCGAUGGCGAAGGCAGCCCCCUGGGUCAAGACUGACGCUCAUGCACGAAAGCGUGGGGAGCAAACAGG